CACAAAAAUUCUACUGCUGUCCUAUUGAAGGCUGCCCUAGAGGACCAAACAGGCCAUUUUCCCAAUUUUCUCUUGUAAAACAGCACUUUAUGAAAAUGCAUGCUGAAAAGAAGCACAAAUGCGAUAAAUGUAGUAACUCCUAUGGUACAGAAUGGUAUUUGAAACGGCAUAUAGAGGUCUGUGGCAAGACUUUCCAGUGUACUUGUGGGUGCCCUUACGCCAGCAGAACAGCAUUACUGUCUCAUAUUUACAGAACUGGCCAUGAAAUUCCCGCAGAACACAGGGAUCCUCCUAGUAAGAAAAGGAAAAUGGAAACAUCUGCACAUAAUCAGCAGUUGGCAGAGAAGGCGAAUGAAGCAUUCAUCAAGACACACAGUAAUAAUGCUGGCACUCAGGAACUGGAGUCCUCUGAAGUGAAACUGGUGGCCUCUCUUGAAGGCUCCUGCAGUUCUAACUUCGCAAACCAAAUGCAGCCAAAAUGUACACCGAAGAUGCUUUUACCAAAGCCCAAGGUGGCUUUGGUUAAACUUCCAGUGAUGCAGCUUGCUCACCUGCCUAUAUACGUAUCUGCAACAGACUCUUCUGUCAAACCUGCUGUAGUGGCUGUUGAUAGUCAAGGUUCAGUUUUAAGUACUGUUCAUUUAUUGCCUCAAUCUAUAGGAAUUCUGAUUCCAGCACUGGAGGCGGAAACAGUUGUAUUUAAAGAUAGUAUGCCUGUUUCCAAAGUGACAAAUUCUGGUGACCGUGAACCAGUAAGUACUGGUGUACAAGUCGAGUGGGAUAAGGUUACAUCGAAUAACACAGGGCAAGAGCUGGGGAAUGUUUCUCACAAGAACAAAAUUUCUUCAAUAAAUAUACAGACUGACUUAUCUUACAUUUCACAGAACUUUGUACCAGCUGCAGCCUGGACUCCCAGUUCUUCUGUAUCCUCUUGCUCUCAGACAGAUCUGUCAUUCAGUUCACAGGUUUCGUUACCCAUCAGUGUACAAACACAGACGCUGCUGCCUGCUUCCAAACUGACUUCGUCCAUAGCUGCUCAGACUGAUGCUUUUAGUCAGGUUUGCUUUCCAACGUGUGGCAUUUCUAGAGAGACUCAAACCAGUAGGACACAGGACUCUCUUGAUGGAAGAGUGCAAAUGGACCAGGCUGUUACGUGCAGUGACAUCUUUGACAAUGUUCACUCAUCUUACAAUGUUUCUACUCACAUUGAACUUCCAGAAAACAAUUUAAUGCCCACGAACAUAGAUCAAACCUUGCUGCAAAGGAGUAAUUGCAAGAGCCUGAAUCAAGAUACGGCAAAGUCUGAAUCCCUUAUCAGCUUCAAUACACAGACUAAUAUACUUCCACCUCAAAAUACAAUGGAUAAUCAAACCCAGACAAUGGACCUACUAAGCGAUCUGGAAAAUAUCUUUUCAGGAAACAUGUCUGGCCAGACACUGGAUAAUCGUGGCCUUUUGUCUGAGACGAGUUCUAAUGCUGACACGCAUCUGCCAUCUGGUCCAUCACAGAGCACAGGAAUAGACUUUGACAUUGAAGAGUUCUUUUCAGCAUCCAAUAUCCAAACUCAGACUGAAGAGAGUGAGCUUGGAACCCUGAACUCUGAGCCAGUUUUGGAGUCACUGGACAUUGAAACUCAGACUGAUUUCUUAUUUUCAGAUAGUGCCACUCAAUCAUAUAGCUGCCGAGGAAAUUCUAACUUCUUAGGUUUGGAGAUGUUUGACACACAGACACAGACAGACUUGAAUUUCUUUUUGGACAGUAAUACCCAUCUGCCUUUAGGAAGUAUUCUGAAGCAGUCAAGCUUCUCCAUGAGUACUGACUCAUCUGAUACAGAAACCCAGACGGAAGUAUAUCCGGCCACUAAAAACAUACCUACUCAGAAUAUUGAAAGCAAAGUCCAGCUCAGUAGCGCUGAAACACAGACUAUGGACAGCUGCUUUGAGAAUCUCGGGAGUUUAUUCCUCACCAGCAAUGAGACACAGACAGCAAUGGAUGACUUUCUUCUGGCUGACUUAGCCUGGAAUACAAUGGAGUCCCAGUUCAGUUCAGUAGAAACACAGACCUGUGAAGAGCUGUGCUCCUUGUUUCAGAGCUCUGACAAGCCCAGCCAUUGAGUACUAUGUAGUGAACUGUUUCCUGUGGUUUGAAAUUAAGUUAUUGGGGUGGGAGAGAUGGCUGGACCAAGUUAUCCACUUUGCAUUACUGAAUGUAGUUAUCGUGAGCAGGUGGCCUAAGAGACUUUUCAUGCUGAAGUUUGUCUCUGAUUUGAUUUUCAAGGCCCUGUCUCUAUUGUAAGUAUUGGUCAGCAGUGACUUACUACUUUGCUUAUUCUCUUUUGUAUCCUCUACUGCCAUUUGAACCACUGUACAAAAAGUAGCGUCAGAUUCUCCAUAGCCUCUUAGCACAAUUUUUUUAUCUGGAGGUGAUGCUAACGUUAGUCGUACUUACUCUUUGCAUUUCCUGCUUAAUCCUGUUAUGCUGUGAUUGCUGCAUCUUGAUCUCGACGCCUUUGUAAUGCUACUCUAAAACUGAAGUGGUAGUUUUGUAGUUUCACUUGAGCUUUUCUUUAGUAUCUAAAAAAAAAAAAAAUCAAACAAAUGAAACAUAGCAAAUUUGGGACAUGCGUUCUGGGAGAACAUAAGCACAAAACAGCUGAAAAAUGAGAGGUCUGUCUUGUUGCUGUCCAUGUGUGUUUGUCACGAUGCUAAAAGCUUGUGUGACAGUAGGUGUAUGUAUCUUCUACUUUUGGCUUUAUUUGCAUCUGUUUCCGCUAAUAUGCUUGUAAAUACUUCUUUCUGCUUUCGGUAGGGAGGGAAUCAUCCCCCAGCUCUGCCUGUCAGCCUAGAGAAAUUGCUAGUUUAAAGUCAGAGUUUACUAACGCUGCGUAUUCUUAGCUAUGCAAAGCUGCUUGUGUCUAGAAAACUUUCACUUCCAAAGGAUAUGAAAUCUUAAAAAAAAAAUACGCAGCUGUAAAUUAAACAGCUGUAAAACAAGCCUUGUGAGACCUCAUUUAGUUUUGAACAAUUCAAUCAGUGUCUGUAAUUAAUACUCCUUACAAAUUUUUAUUCCAAGGCGCACACGCAGUCAUUUUUUCUGUUGAAAACAAAAGUUUGAAUUUCCCUGUUAGUCAUAGGUACCCUCACUGUGUAGAGGCAACAGAACAAAGAAAGAUGACUGCCUUCCGCUGCUUUAAAUCCUUAUCCCGCCAGCACAUGCUCACAUGCUUAGAUCUGGAUUGAUUUUUUUUGUUGUGAGGCUGGGUAGAGAUACAAGUGUUGGCAGGAUUGGGAUCUUAGGGUGUUAGGGGUUUUUUUUAAUAGCCUUUCAAAUACAGGGUAGGUCAGUAGGACUAAUACAUACUGGAUCAACAUAGGGUGCUCAACUUGCAGAAUAUGUUCCUGAAAUGACAACUCAGAGGUGAACCAAAUGUACUUGCUUUUAUCAUUAAGGUUGUACAGCUUCCUUUGCUUUAUUUCUGACAUGUUGGUUUUUUAAAUGUGAUCUUAAUGUACAAUUUACUGUUCAAAUACGUUCACACCAAAAUGUUGUUAACAUUCUGGGCCUUGCAAGCUUUUUCACUCAUGUUUGGUUUAAGGUGCUGCUAUGCCUGUGUUCCCACUGCAAAGACUUCCAUUAAUAACUUUAUAUGAACACUAUGAGGAUAGGGUUGUUCAACAGUAGCAAGCUUCAGUGCAUGGUGCAAACAUGCAUCUUCUGUUUCUUUUGUUGUUUUUUUAACAGUUGAUGUGAAUUUAUUUAAAUGUGUGCUAGAAGGAUUUGCUGCUUAGAGCACAACUGAGUUUUCUUGUUUAAAAUGCCAUUGCUGUGCAAUGAACAGAAUCGAGGAACUACGUCGUUCAGCUCUGCGUUGCCUUGCAGUCAGGUUGAGGGUCUGUUUGUAUUUGUGUGUGUGACUCUUCCACUUCACCGAAAAUGUAAUCGGACGGCCUGAAACAGUGGAAACUCCUGAAGGAACCGCUGAGUUAAAUAACAGAAGUCCUUUCCUUCUGAUUCUUUUUCAUAUGCUGGCUUUACCGCAGUAUAUUCAACAUAACUAGCAAUGGAAUAUAAUAGAUGACUUGUGAUGAUGUAAACUGUACGUGUGAUGACAACUAAUGCUUUACAUGCAUGCUUCAAGCACUUGCAUGCAGAGCUAGAUUGACAGUACUUCCAUCUACAGAUAUUUGCAAGUGCAUCUGUGAUAAAGCUAGGUAUGAAAGAUAGCCAUAUUUUUUUCAGGUUACAGAAUUCAACACCUGAUUAUGAUCUAAUUUAAACUUGUAAUUAUUUGGAAUGGAUGAGUAUUAAAUCCCAUGGGUGAGUCUUUCCCAAAGCAUGUGUGAGUUAAUCUCAAUAAGGGUGAGAAACGUCCUUAAAAUACUUUUCUUCUCAUCACUGGUGGGAUUUUUGAUCUAGUAGACAAAUUUUCAAAGGAUGUCCAUGUUUAAUUGCUAUUUAAGCCAGUAAACUUGCAAUGAGCAGACAAGAGCAAGCAUUCAUUUCUUAGCCUAUUUUACAAGUGACAAUCCCAAAGAAGGAAUGUUGUCCUAGUAAUUGUGAAACUUUUAAGUAUAUUAAUGCAUGCAGAGAAAAACUUGUGCCAAAAGACUGUUUCAUACUUCCCUCUGUUGGAAACUGAAGUGUUAAACAAAGCUACCAGUAAGUUAUUCACAAAUAUUGAGACGUUUUGUUCACAAAUGAAGCACUU